UAUAUGUGUUACAGAUGAAUCUUACCGACACGUCCUGCAGGACCUUUAAUAAAAUUUAUCCAGUCUACUAUUCUGCUGUGAGAGUCUUUAGAGAAGCUAAUGAUAACAAUUGCGAACCCUGUUGUGUUGCCUCACAAUGUGUGUUUUUGUGCCUAUGGGCCGUUAGAACAUAAUACGGGUGUAUGAGCAACAUGCCACAAUUUAUCCACAGAGUUUAUUGCACGGCCAAAUAAAUUUUAAUGUAGACCCUUCGAUACGAUUCUCAUUGUAUACGUGUGUAUUGCCUACGCAGGGUGCCCUGCAGGCCAAGUUUGCAAGGAAUGCGAAAGCAGCUCCUGCGGCGAGUGGAAAUGCUACCAUCUGUUUCAACGAGGUCCAAGAGCGUGUACUUCUGACUGCGCAAGCCGAUGCUUUUGUCGCUGGGGCUUGUUCAGAGAUGACAGAAACAGAUGCGUACCAAUAUGGGGUUGUCGGAGAGGUGCCGGUCGAGCAGAGUAGUUGGGAUAAGUGGGUGCUACAGAUGGAGGGGCUACGGAAAAAAAGCUGCCACUUGGCGGCUUGACGAGUCCGCAGACCCAUAUAUAAGGCAGCGUCUAGACAGCACCAGAUCACAAACAAGCGAUAAACAAAUCAAGACACUUGAUCAAAGCAAAUAAAUAAAAUAAAAAAUCCUGAGCCAGAUCAAUCAAACACAGUCAACACAAAAGAAUGAACAAGCAAUAAGCGUAUCAGGACACUUCAUAAAUGCAGAAGAAAAGAAAAAGUCUUGAGCUAGAUAAAAACAAACACCAGAAUAGCUGAAAUCAGGUUAGUCAAUGAGCAAACAGGCCUCUAAGUGUAACAGCGGAGCAACUAAAUAAAUCAAAAUUCAGUGACUGAUAAUAGUUUAAAAGAGAUGGCAGAGAGAAACACAAACGUUCCAUACCAGAAUUCAAGCGUGGUACAGCAACCUUCCAGUUUUCUCCACGUCUAGUCUUGUAACAUUUAUCAUUUCUUUCUAAAUGUGCCAAGGCAUCGAGGCUAUGAAUAUUUUUUUUCACUUCAUAUUUAAACCGAGCACUCAAACGGUAGCGGUAUAGCUUGUGAGCUGUAAUAACAUGUGCCCUGUGAAAGAAUUCUGCAGUGGUCGCAGUAUGACGAGCAUUGUAUACGUGGCGUAGAUACCGUUUUUGCAUAUGGAAUAUUUUUUGUGUGUUAGAGAACGUAGUUGUGCCCCAGACAAGGUGGCAAUAGUUGACGUGUGGAUAUAAAAGAGAAUUAUAGACCAAUAUUUUUGUUUUAGUAGAAAGCACGUACCGGAGACGACCAACUACACCGGUUAUUCGAGCAAGUUUGGCUAAUACAAAAUUCACAUGCGGUUCCCAGGACAGAUUGGCAGUGAAUAUCACACCUAGACAUUUAAACUGGUCAACAAUGUCAACUGGGUGAGAGUUUAAAACAAUAUCGGCAUGAGGAGGAACAUGUUUAUUUUUCGGCCGGAAGACAACUGCUUUUGUUUUAUUUUCGUUAAUCUUCAUGUAAUUGGAUAAGGACCGUUGCUGCAGUUUGACUAUGGUAUCAUUGCAAUCAGAGAUAAGUUUAUCGAUGUUAUUACCAGAAAAAAGUAUGCUG